GAUAAACGCUAGCGGCAGGCUUAACACAUGCAAGUCGGGGGGCAGCAUAGAUUGUAGCAAUACAAUUGGUGGCGACCGGCGCACGGGUGCGUAACGCGUAUGCAACCUACCCGUCACAGGGGGAUAAUCCGGAGAAAUCUGGUCUAAUACCCCAUAACAUAUGGAUCGGCAUCGGUUCAUGUUGAAAUUUUCGGAGGUGACGGAUGGGCAUGCGUAGCAUUAGCUUGUUGGUGAGGUAACGGCUCACCAAGGCGACGAUGCUUAGGGGGACUGAGAGGUUUUCCCCCCACACUGGUACUGAGACACGGACCAGACUCCUACGGGAGGCAGCAGUGAGGAAUAUUGGUCAAUGGGCGCAAGCCUGAACCAGCCAUGCCGCGUGCAGGAUGACGGCUCUAUGAGUUGUAAACUGCUUUUGUACGAGGGUAAAGUGGGUUACGUGUAACCUAUUGAAAGUAUCGUACGAAUAAGGAUCGGCUAACUCCGUGCCAGCAGCCGCCGUAA
rnacentral:rRNA from 1 species